GUCCACGCCGUAAACGAUGGGUGCUAGGUGUGGGCGGUGUCGACUCCGUCCGUGCCGAAGCUAACGCAUUAAGCACCCCGCCUGGGGAGUACGGCCGCAAGGCUAAAACUCAAAGGAAUUGACGGGGGCCCGCACAAGCAGCGGAGCAUGUUGUUUAAUUCGACGCGACGCGAAGAACCUUACCAAGGCUUGACAUGCACGGGAAUGUCGUAGAAAUACGGCAGCCCUUCGGGGCUCGUGCACAGGUGGUGCAUGGCUGUCGU
rnacentral:rRNA from 1 species